rnacentral:rRNA from 1 species
GAUGAACGCUGGCGGCGUGCCUAAUACAUGCAAGUCGAGCGAACAGACGAGGAGCUUGCUCCUCUGACGUUAGCGGCGGACGGGUGAGUAACACGUGGAUAACCUACCUAUAAGACUGGGAUAACUUCGGGAAACCGGAGCUAAUACCGGAUAAUAUAUUGAACCGCAUGGUUCAAUAGUGAAAGACGGUUUUGCUGUCACUUAUAGAUGGAUCCGCGCCGCAUUAGCUAGUUGGUAAGGUAACGGCUUACCAAGGCGACGAUGCGUAGCCGACCUGAGAGGGUGAUCGGCCACACUGGAACUGAGACACGGUCCAGACUCCUACGGGAGGCAGCAGUAGGGAAUCUUACGCAAUGGGCGAAAGCCUGACGUAGCAACGCCGCGUGAGUGAUGAAGGUCUUCGGAUCGUAAAACUCUGUUAUUAGGGAAGAACAAAUGUGUAAGUAACUAUGCACGUCUUGACGGUACCUAAUCAGAAAGCCACGGCUAACUACGUG